CGGAGGGAGAAGUCUUCUCGGAGGUGGCCGNCUUUUAUAGCUUGCCCGUCCGCAAAAGGGAAGCCGGUUAAUAUUCCGGCACAGGGCUUCGGAGACGAUCGUCGCUUCGGCGGCAAGUGCGGCAACVAAUGACCUGGGAGACGUUCGCGGGCGUUCCGGGAAGAGUUUUCUUUUCUUUGUGAGGCUUCGCGCGCACCUUGGAAUCGGCUUGCCGGAGAUAAGGUCGCCUAGCCACAGAGCACCGCGCUUCUCGCGUGUCCGGUGCACGCCCGUGGGCCCUUGAAAAUCCCAGCGAGAGGGUGUAAUUUUCGAGCUC
rnacentral:rRNA from 1 species